AAGGAACAAGAACAGAAAUGCUUGCAGCCUUCUGAAGUGGUUUGGUGUUAUUGGGCAAAUGCUUAAAGCCUUCUGAAGUUGUAUGGCACCCAGUUUGACAGGAACAGAAAACCAACAGAGAGGCAAAACUCAGCAUUGUCUGGAUUGUAUGCUGUGAGUUGUGGAGGCAAGAACUUAGAAGGCACAGCACACAGCCUCAGUCACUGCAUUCUGCAGACACCAGGUAAUGCAGGCAGGAGAUAAGGAUCAUGUAGCCACACCAGAUUUUGGAUGCUUAUGCCUCUUCCUUAACUCCUGGAUCUGCAAAAUAGGGAUGGAAAGCUUGCAAAGACUGAAAUCGCUGCUCCUUUUGUCUCUGAUCUCAAGGUACAAUGUAGAUGUAGAACUGCUCAGACUGAAUCUAGCUCAGUUCCUUUUUUCUGCUACUAAAAUGGUUUCAGCAUUACAAGAUUUUAGCAGAGACAGCAUUGGUUUCAUGCUCUCCAGCUCAGCUUUAUGCUUCAGAGUGUCUGUUUUCAAAGAUUACUGUUCAUGCAAUGUCAACCAAGUCACCCUCACCUCUGCUGGCAUGUGGAAAGUGGCAGUGGCAGCACUUCCAUGCCCUGAAGCCAUGCUCUUCCUGCUGCCCUGCAUCCCAUUAUCUCUGUGCAGACAUUCCCUGUGUUUAGCUGCCACAUUCCUGCCCUGCAGGCCCGUUCUGCAGCACUUCUCCCCAACAGUGCAGCCUUCAGGUGCAACCUCAGUGCCUCUGGGAAUUAUGUUUGAAGGUUAAUGUUUCAGAAAAAUAUCAUCAAAGCAUUUCUGCCCCUCAGCCCAUGAUUUUGGUAGAAGAGAGAGAUUUUUUUUCCUCAUUUGUUGUGGUCUAACAGUUAAAUGCUUGGCAGCUGGAUGCUUGUUUCUACCUGAUAGAGCUUUAUUAAAAUAUGAGCUGUGGGUGUGGUGAUCUUUUGGAAGGUGAGGGGCUCUGAAAUGGCUUUUUCUCCCUGAAAAUUCCCUGAGUGCUACUAAAGCAGUAUUUGGAGCUCCAGAUACAUCAGGCUGUAUUUGGCCAAAGAUUUAAUGAAAGGCCAGAAAUGAGGUGCUUGCGCUAGUGACUAAAUGGUAAAUCCCAAAAUAUAAAUCUUCUGGCUUUGCUAUAUGACAUAGCAAAGGGAAGACUGAAACAAUAACUGUUCUGGCUAUAAAGUGAACCUUUUAUGUCAGAAAUUUGCUCUUGCAGAUUUUGUUUUACCUACACGGCUUAGGGGGGAAAAAACCCUACCUUCCAUAAAAACAAAAUUUGUGCACUAUAAAAAUAUUUUCAGUUGACAAGAAUCUCCUGAACCAACAACAGCACUACCCAAAAGGUGGGGAGAUAGGUACAGAUGGAGCCCGUUAUUUCAAAUCAGAGGGUUCCCAAACUCCCUUGGCAUCACAUUUGUGCUAACAAGAGGUCACAUUUUGAGGGGUUUGGUGAUAAAAUGCCUGCUGAAUUCAUAUGGAACAGAAGCAUCCACCUUUUCCUCACCUUCCUCCCUCUUCCCAGCCUGGCAGUGGUAGGUGUGUGCUAGAGCCUCCAUGCAUUGGCUACUUCCUUUCCUCCUGCAAGUGAAACCAUUGCAUGCAUUGUACAAGUUGUUGCAGCAUAUAAAACUUAGUUUGAUCUGAGAUGAGCUGAAAAAUUCAAUAGCUGCUAUAAAAUGCCAUGAAAUUCUGGUUUUACAUGUUAGAUUUUGCGUGGGAGAAGGAAAGAUGGCUGCAUUUUUUUCAUGUUGUUUGUGUAUCAUUUCCAAGCCUUAAUUGAUGAAUGCGAUAUAGUUUGACAGAUAAACAUAUCAAACCAGUUUUGUGGUGAAGAUAUUAUUAAAAUGAAAAUAAAUAUGGGCCUCUCUAUGUAGGUGAGAGGGAACACACAAGGGAAUGCUUGAAGUGAAUAGGUUUGGAAGCUUUUCAGACUGGAAAAAAUCCACAGCUUUGCUUACAUGCAACACACACUGGUUAAAAUGUAUUUCAACUUUUGCAUAUGUUUUUGAGUAUUUAGCUGAAAAUGAGGCACUGCAUCUAAUUAGAAUCUCCAAACUCACAGACAUGCUACAGGCUCAACACUUUGAAAUGUAAAUAGAGCCUCAGUAAAGAUACUGAUAUGGGAGUCUCAGUAUGAUAUGGGGGUAAUAAAGAGGUAAAAAUAUGACACACCUUCUGAAAAGUUGAGGAAGAGCACCUGGGGCAGGUAGGAGGGACCAGAGCAGUGAUGAGAACUAGAAUAAAGGGCUCUAACAUUUCACACAGGACUUGAGUCUGUCCAACCCAGAACCUGCUCCCCAGA